UACGAAGGGGGCUAGCGUUGCUCGGAAUUACUGGGCGUAAAGCGCACGUAGGCGGCUUUCUAAGUCGGGGGUGAAAUCCUGGAGCUCAACUCCAGAACUGCCUUCGAUACUGGAGAGCUUGAGUCCGGGAGAGGUGAGUGGAACUGCGAGUGUAGAGGUGAAAUUCGUAGAUAUUCGCAAGAACACCAGUGGCGAAGGCGGCUCACUGGCCCGGUACUGACGCUGAGGUGGCGAAAGCGUGGGGAGCAAACAGG
rnacentral:rRNA from 1 species